ACACCAUUAAUGCAGGUGCAUGGACAGGAAAAGCAGGGGUGCAGAGAGGACGUUUAACUAUUGUGACAAAGAAAAUAUCCAGAAAAUACAUCUCAAAGGAACCACCAUAGGACCAUGCAGUGGCCCCAAGAGAAACACCCAUAGGGCAUGCGUGCAUGCGUGCACAAGCGCGUACACACACACACACACACACACACACACACACACUUCCCUUGUCUACCCUGACCUGUUCUGAUGUCUCUCUCCUCUCAUAUUCCUCCUCCCCCAGAGCCAUUACACAUCUGUGACCCAGGCCAGCCAGGGAAAGAGGCACCUGUCGGCAGAGGCCUUGGCCUUCAUGGCUAUGGAAUUGACCUCUUUCAGGGGAGAGACGAAACUUCAUCCAGCCCUGCGCCCCACAGCUUCCCUACGUUUCAGGGCAAAUGGCAAGUGUUCAACAGACGCUGGUCACUGCUCACCCGCCUUCAGGGGAGGGAGCCACAGAGCAAAGCAGUUAACAGCGUGAGCUUUCCCGUCUCAGCCACUUCCGAGCUGUGUGGUCUGGAGCAAGUUCUGAAACAUCGGGGUUGA
rnacentral:lncRNA from 1 species